rnacentral:lncRNA from 1 species
GAGUCGGAUCUAUACUAGCUUAAAUUUGAUCCAUGUGCUUAAGCGGUGUGUAUGGUGUUGUAUCUAGCCUAGGAUUAUGCUUCUUCUGAGUCAGAUCUAUACAAGCUCAAGUUUUAUCCAUGUGGUUAAGAGGUCUGUAUGAUGUGUUGCUAGGAUUGUGUUUCUUCUUGCAGUUCUAUCGGAUCUCUGUUUAGUUUUGUGCAGUCUUUGCUUGUUUUAGAGUUAUUGUUAACUUGUUUGUAUUUGAUCAUCUGUUUCCAGAUGCAGAACUACUCUAAGCUGAAAAAAUCAGUGGAUUAUAUACUUGCUUUAGAGGAAAAACUGCAGAAUGCUU